GACGAACGCUGGCGGCGUGCUUAACACAUGCAAGUCGAACGCUGAAGCUCAGCUUUUGUUGGGUGGAUGAGUGGCGAACGGGUGAGUAACACGUGAGUAACCUGCCCCCUUCUUUGGGAUAACGCCCGGAAACGGGUGCUAAUACUGGAUAUUCACUGGUCUUCGCAUGGGGGUUGGUGGAAAGGGUUUUUCUGGUGGGGGAUGGGCUCGCGGCCUAUCAGGUUGUUGGUGGGGUGAUGCCUACCAAGGCUUUGACGGGUAGCCGGCCUGAGAGGGUGCCCGGUCACAUGGGGACUGAGAUACGGCCCAGACUCCUACGGGAGGCAGCAGUGGGGAAUAUGGCACAAUGGGCGCAAGCCUGAUGCAGCGACGCCGCGUGAGGGAUGGAGGCCUUCGGGUUGUGAACCUCUUUCGCUCAUGGUCAAGCCGCAACAAUGGUUGUGGUGAGGGUAGUGGGUAAAGAAGCGCCGGCUAACUACGUG
rnacentral:rRNA from 1 species